UGGGGAAUAUUGCACAAUGGGCGAAAGCCUGAUGCAGCGACGCCGCGUGAGGGAUGACGGCCUUCGGGUUGUAAACCUCUUCCAGCUCCGACGAAGCGAAAGUGACGGUAGGAGCAGAAGAAGCACCGGCCAACUACGUGCCAGCAGCCGCGGUAAUACGUAGGGUGCAAGCGUUGUCCGGAAUUAUUGGGCGUAAAGAGCUCGUAGGCGGCUUGUCGCGUCGACUGUGAAAACCUGGGGCUUAACUCCGGGCCUGCAGCCGAUACGGGCAAGCUAGAGUUCGGUAGGGGAGACUGGAAUUCCUGGUGUAGCGGUGAAAUGCGCAGAUAUCAGGAGGAACACCGGUGGCGAAGGCGGGUCUCUGGGCCGAAACUGACGCUGAGGAGCGAAAGCGUGGGGAGCGAAC
rnacentral:rRNA from 1 species